AUGGCCAUAGAAGAUCUGCAGGGGAAAGCCAGUAAAAACAAACCUCCGAGUGUAGGGGACAUUAGGAAGGCGGCGUCCAAGCAGCGGCUCAGGCAAGUUCAGGGGAAAAGCCAGCUGAUAGAGGUUGGCAGGAAGCUGGUACCAGACUCUGAACAAAGUCCUGAACCAAAAAAGAGAGAAUCUAAGUCUGCAUUGGCCAAAGUGAAGCAACCCGUCAGGGUGAAAAGCAAACCGAUGGUCGUGCAAAGUCAACGUGCAGGAGUUAGCUCGCCAGGUAAACGCAGUCGCACAGGCUCACCUGAGUUUCAUCUGAGUGAUGCCUUGAAUGAAGAGAGCUUACGUAGCCCUCCGCUGCUCUCCGAGGGGAAAAAAAACUCUGAUUUUUCAAAAAAAUCUAAGAAUGAGAAAAACAAAAAAGAGGCUCAGUCAAAAAAAGGCUCAAGAGUGGCGACACAAAAACAGAAAGGGGCGUCAGAUCUCGGCCUGCUCGCUGGAGCAGCCUCUCUCGCAGCAGGAUCGGUAUUAAUGCACGAGGUGGCCUCCAGAAGACGUUUUAGCUCGGCGUCGCCAUCCCCAUCCGAGAGCAGCCGGGGGAUCCUGAAAGACAGCAUCACAAAAUCCCGGAGCGAGGAAUCUGAAUCCUACGCUGCCGAUUUUAGCAACAAAUCCGCGAUCAGCAUCAACAUCAUACCUGCAGCUGAGAGUCAGGACGGGAAGGAAACGAGUCCGGAUGAAAGUGAGGAGGAGGAAGAGGAAGGGCAGAGAACGAGUGCAGAAGUAAGCGAGCAAGAGGAUGAGGAGGAGCAAGAGGAUGAGGAGGAGCAGGAGGAUGAGGAGGAUGACGAUGAGGAGGAUGACGAUGAGGAGGAUGUCAGUAACCGUGUCGAGAAAGUAACAGGAGGAGAAGAAGAAGAAGACAAAGACAGCGACACUCUUCAACCAGAAGAUGAGUCAGAAACUGAUGUAGAUGAGGAGGGAGGGAAGGAUGAGGAGGAAGAUGAGAGUGGUGCUGAGGUAGAGGAGGAGGAAGAGGAGGAAGCGAGUGGAGCGGCAGGAAGUGAAAGUGUAGACGAGACUGAGGAGAAAGAGAGCAAAGGAAGUGAUGUAGAAGAAGAGGAGGAGGAGGAGGAGGAGGAGGAAAAUGAGAAAGGGUCGAGUCAGGAGACAGAAAGCGAAGGAAGAGAGUCUGAAAAGGAUGAGGAAGGUGAGGAAGAAGAGGGGGAUUUGGAAAGCGAGGGUGAGGAAGAGGAGGGUGAAAGUGAGUCUUUAAAGUCCUCGAAGGAGAGAGGGGAGAGUGAUGCUGAGGGUGAGACAGAGGGAGGAGAAGAGGAGGAGGAGGAGGAGGAGGAGGAAGAGGAGGAGAAACAGGAUAGUGCUGAGGAGGAGGAGCAGGAGAGUGAAAAUGAAGAGGAAGAGGAGGAGGGGGAGGAGAGUGAAAAUGAAGACGAAGAAGAAGCAGAGGAAGAGAGUGCUGAGGAAGAGGUAGAAGAGGAAAAAGAGAGUGACGAAGAAGUGGCAGAAGAGGAGGAGGAAGAGGCUGAAGAGGAGGAGGAAGAGGCUGAAGAGGAGGAGGAAGAGGCUGAAGAGGAGGAGGAAGAGGCUGAGGAGGAAGAGGUUGAUAACAAAGAUGAGAAAGAAGAGGAAGAGGAGGAGGAAGAGGUUGAUAACAAAGAUGAGGAGGAAGAGGAGGAGGAAGAAGAGGAGGAGGAGGAAGAAGAGGAGGAGGAGGAGGAAGAAGAGGAGGAAGAAGAAGAGGAGGUUGUUGAAACUAAAAAAUCUGCUCAAGUCAAAAGACAAAGUACCAAAUCUAAAAGUAAACUCAGGUCAGGGGUCAAAGGUCAGGCAGCAGGCGAGUCGGAGGAGUUUUGGGAUGAUGUGUUACCUCAGUACCUCAACCUGAAAUAA
rnacentral:lncRNA from 15 species